rnacentral:rRNA from 1 species
UGCAGAGGUCUCAAGCGUUGUUCGGAUUCAUUGGGCGUAAAGGGUGCGUAGGCGGCGCGGUAAGUCGGGUGUGAAAUCUCGGGGCUUAACUCCGAAACUGCAUUCGAUACUGCCGUGCUUGAGGACUGGAGAGGAGACUGGAAUUUACGGUGUAGCGGUGAAAUGCGUAGAUAUCGUAAGGAAGACCAGUGGCGAAGGCGGGUCUCUGGACAGUUCCUGACGCUGAGGCACGAAGGUCAGGGGAGCAAACAGG